ACGACCGUACCGCAAACCGACACUGGUGCGCGAGAUGAGUAUUCUAAGGCGCUUGAGAGAACUCAGGAGAAGGAACUCGGCAAAUUGACACCGUAACUUCGGAAGAAGGUGUGCCCUAUUAGUGUGAAGUGAACAACGGAGCAUGAAUGGGUUGCAAAAAAUCGGUGGCUGCGACUGUUUAUUAAAAACACAGCACUCUGCAAACACGAAAGUGGACGUAUAGGGUGUGACGCCUGCCCGGUGCUGGAAGAUUAAAUGAUGGGGUGCAAGCUCUUGAUUGAAGUCCCAGUAAACGGCGGCCGUAACUAUAACGGUCCUAAGGUAGCGAAAUUCCUUGUCGGGUAAGUUCCGACCUGCACGAAUGGCGUAACGAUGGCCACACUGUCUCCUCCUGAGACUCAGCGAAGUUGAAAUGUUUGUGAUGAUGCAAUCUCCCCGCGGAAAGACGGAAAGACCCCAUGAACCUUUACUGUAGCUUUGUAUUGGACUUUGAACAGAUCUGUGUAGGAUAGGUGGGAGGCUUUGAAGCAGGGUCGCUAGAUCUUGUGGAGCCAACGUUGAAAUACCACCCUGGUGUGUUUGAGGUUCUAACCUAGGUCCAUUAUCUGGAUCGGGGACAGUGCAUGGUAGGCAGUUUGACUGGGGCGGUCUCCUCCCAAAGCGUAACGGAGGAGUUCGAAGGUACGCUAGUUACGGUCGGACAUCGUGACGAUAGUGCAAUGGCAUAAGCGUGCUUAACUGCGAGACUGACAAGUCGAGCAGAUGCGAAAGCAGGACAUAGUGAUCCGGUGGUUCUGUAUGGAAGGGCCAUCGCUCAACGGAUAAAAGGUACUCUGGGGAUAACAGGCUGAUACCGCCCAAGAGUUCAUAUCGACGGCGGUGUUUGGCACCUCGAUGUCGGCUCAUCUCAUCCUGGGGCUGUAGCCGGUCCCAAGGGUAUGGCUGUUCGCCAUUUAAAGAGGUACGUGAGCUGGGUUUAAAACGUCGUGAGACAGUUUGGUCCCUAUCUUCCGUGGGCGCUGCAGAUUUGAGGAAGCCUGCUCCUAGUACGAGAGGACCGGAGUGGACACACCUCUGGUGUAUCGGUUGUCACGCCAGUGGCAUUGCCGAGUAGCUAAGUGUGGAAGAGAUAACCGCUGAAAGCAUCUAAGCGGGAAACUCGUUUCAAGAUGAGAUCUGCCGGGGCCUUGAGCCCCCUGAAGAGUCGUUCAAGACCAGGACGUUGAUAGGUCAGGUGUGGAAGCGCAGUAAUGCGUUAAGCUAACUGAUACUAAUUGCUCGUGCGGCUUGACCCU
rnacentral:rRNA from 1 species